ACGGAAGGCAGCAGUGGGGAAUAUUGCACAAUGGGCGAAAGCCUGAUGCAGCGACGCCGCGUGAGUGAAGAAGUAUCUCGGUAUGUAAAGCUCUAUCAGCAGGGAAGAAAAUGACGGUACCUGACUAAGAAGCCCCGGCUAACUACGUGCCAGCAGCCGCGGUAAUACGUAGGGGGCAAGCGUUAUCCGGAUUUACUGGGUGUAAAGGGAGCGUAGACGGUUUGGCAAGUCUGAAGUGAAAUGCGGGGGCUCAACUCCUGAACUGCUUUGGAAACUGUCGAACUAGAGUGCAUGAGAGGUAAGUGGAAUUCCUAGUGUAGCGGUGAAAUGCGUAGAUAUUAGGAGGAACACCAGUGGCGAAGGCGGCUUACUGGACUGUAACUGACGUUGAGGCUCGAAAGCGUGGGGAGCAAACAGGAUUAGAUACCCUGGUA
rnacentral:rRNA from 1 species